AUAUUGCAUUAUUGCCUAUCCUGACUAAACUUUGACAUAAACCAGACUGUGAUCCACUCAGCAUCCUCUGAUUUCAACUAUUAGUCAAAAUAAUUCAUAUUU